AACGAACGCUGGCGGCAUGCCUAACACAUGCAAGUCGAACGAGACCUUCGGGUCUAGUGGCGCACGGGUGCGUAACGCGUGGGAACCUGCCCUUAGGUUCGGAAUAACUCCCCGAAAGGGGUGCUAAUACCGGAUAAUGUCUUCGGACCAAAGAUUUAUCGCCUUUGGAUGGGCCCGCGUUGGAUUAGCUAGUUGGUAGGGUAAAAGCCUACCAAGGCGACGAUCCAUAGCUGGUCUGAGAGGAUGAUCAGCCACACUGGGACUGAGACACGGCCCAGACUCCUACGGGAGGCAGCAGUUGGGAAUAUUGGACAAUGGGCGAAAGCCUGAUCCAGCAAUGCCGCGUGAGUGAUGAAGGCCUUAGGGUUGUAAAGCUCUUUUACCCGGGAUGAUAAUGACAGUACCGGGAGAAUAAGCUCCGGCUAACUCCGU
rnacentral:rRNA from 1 species